UGUUGAGAAGUCUCGACAGGAAAGGCGCUUUCGGACAAGCCUGAUGACCUGAGUUCAAUCCUGGAUCUCGUGUGCGGGAGGAAGAGAACUGACUCAUCUUGUGCCUAUGCUAUCUGCUUCAUUUGUGCCUCGUUUCCAGUCUUGGAUAUGGACGAUACACUGGGCCCUUCAGAGACUUACAAUUUGCAUUGUUGCCCCAUUGACUUGAUGAUGAAACACCGUGCACGCCAGGAUGAGCACGGACUUUUCACUUGGAGAAGAGGUCCUUUUGCACAUCUGCUUUCUGGAAAUGUGAACGCUCCUCAAGAUCUCAGCUUUUCGGGUCCAAUGUGUCUACAAUGGUCCACAGUGGUUUCAGUCCAUUUCCCCAAAGGGCUUCAAUCACCACUGGGUGUGUCCAGAUGCCCACAGUUACGAAACUGGGAGUUUUAUGCUUCAUAUAGUGUUUACUAUUAUUGCCCAGUUUAUGAAAUAAGAUCUAUGAAGUCGAUGAAAUAUUUGCUAUAAUUUGUGUCUACUCUAUAUCAACAUGGAGAUAAUUACUUAUACUAUAUUGGUAAACAAAAAAAUAAGAGCAUGAAAAUUCCAACUGGAUUAGAACUUAAAUAUUUAUUAUUUUAUUAUCGAUUUAUAUGCAUAUGUGCGUGUGUUUAUGUGAAUGCAUGCCACGAGUAUGUGGGUGCCUGAAGAGGUCAGAAGAGGGCCUUGGAUCUGCUGGAUCUGGAGUUACAAGCCAUUGUGAGUCACCUGAAGCAGGUGUUGGGAACUGAAGUUGGGUCCACAUAAGCAAGUGUUCUUAACUGCUGAACCAUCUCUCCAACUCCUUAGAUUAGAAUGUAGAACCUACUAUAUUGAGCAAAGAAAUGAUGUGAACUAAGAUGAUGUAUUAAAAA
rnacentral:lncRNA from 1 species